rnacentral:lncRNA from 1 species
UGGUGCUGCAGCUGCAGCCGCUGGUACGGCACCUGCCGCCGCCGCCGCACAGGGAGGUCGGGGGCACUUUGGAGACAGGUGGAGGGAUGGGCUUCCCUGCGGGCCCCCUCCCCGGAGGGAUGGGGCAGCAGCCCCGGCCCCAGCCCCGUGCCCUCCCCGGUGCCCUCCCCGGUGCCCUCCCCGGUGCCCUCCCCGGAGGCCCCCGGCACUGGCCUGGCUGGGGUCGGUGGCCCUGAAGACGUGGCAGGCCAUCGGAGAGUCGGGGUUGUCCGGCUGGGCUUUGAUGAGGUAUCAAAUCUCAACUUUCAUCAUGUCUGGUUUGGAAAUUUGGUUCUGCCAUAGUAGCCGGGGCCUCCACAGAACUUUCAACUUCAUCUUGGUGUGAGUAUUGAACCCUAUAUCUGCCUUUGUUUGUCCUAAAUUCCAGAUGGCUGAAGUUGGCCCAACUCUGGGAUUAUAUAAACAGCCCCAAAGUUGAUGCUCCAAGGAAAAAGCCUCAUUAGGCUUUAAUAACCCCAUCUCUGAUUAAAAUUGGUAUUAAACAUCUGUACUCCCUCCUAUGGAGACUGUGAGUCCCAUGUGGGAUAGGACAGUGCCUGACCUGAUUAUCUACCUGAUUAGCAGCGUGGCUCAGUGGAAAGAUCCUGGGCUUUGGAGUCAGAGGUCAUGAGUUCGAAUUCCAGCUCUGCCACUUGUCAGCUGUGUGACUAUGGGCAAGUCACUUAACUUCUCUGGGCCUCAGUUACCUCAUCUGUAAAAUGGGGAUGAAGACUGUGAGCUCCACGUGGGACAACCUGAUUCCCCUGUGUCUACCCCAGCGCUUAGAACAGUGCUCUGCACAUAGUAAGCGCUUAACAAAUACCAACUUAUUAUCUUAGUACAGUUCUUGGGACAUUGUAAGCGCUUAACAAAUAUUAUUACUGUUAUUAUUACCACUAUCUUCAUUAUCCUAUGUCAACUUAACCUGGUGGCUGCUGUUUCUACAAAAUCACACUUCAGUUUACUUUUAGUAGUGGAAGGUGAAAUUUAGCAUAGUAUGUUUCUAGGAAUAUUGGUGGGAUUAUCAGUUCAUCAAAAGGAGGAAAGCAUGCACCUUUACAGUAAUUUUAACCCAGUGGCUUUUGAUUGUGUUUUUUUUAAAGGCAAGUUGGUUAAAGAAUAGUAGAUAAGAAAAAAUAUACAAAAGUCCUUGUUCAAUCACUUUAAACAAUCUCUUACAAAGGAUGGAAAUGGCCAAAUGGGCAAAUAGCAUUUAUCAAUCAUUUAAUUGGUUUCUGAAGACACAUAUCAACUCAACUGAGAUGUUCAUAAGAAAAAUUCCUUUGGUUUCCUUCAACUCUGGGAGACUGUUAGGAUCGCCAUCUGUAGAAUGUCCCUAAUAUAUUACUGUCCUCCCCACCCCCCACCCCCAAAACAAUUGGCAUGAAAGGUAACCUCAUUGACCUUUGAAAUCAGAUCUCAAGCAUACUGUGCAGCAGGGUCGGACACGCGCAAUGAUUACAAAAGAGAUGGCCUUUAGUAACUAUCCAACACGGGUAAUAAAAUCCUCAUUCAAUAGCCACCGAAGGGAGAAUUGACCAAUAAGUUUUCUAAAAUGAAGGUUUCCUUGAAAAAUAUGUUGCCUAUGAUUAAUGAACUCAGGAUAGCCCACGAUACGUCAUUUUGGGGAAGUUCGCCGAUUGCGAGCGAUCCGUGAGCCUUUCCCUGGUGGGACUCCUGGACACCCCCCAACCUGCUCCAGGGCCUUUUUGUUCUCCUCCCAGUCCAUAUGAACACUGGCAACCCAAACCUACAGAUUCACUGUGCUUGAGUCACAGAACUAGCAGUGGAGCUGUGAUGCUGGGAGGCUC